rnacentral:rRNA from 1 species
UACGUAGGGUGCGAGCGUUAAUCGGAAUUACUGGGCGUAAAGCGUGCGCAGGCGGUUAUGUAAGACAGGUGUGAAAUCCCCGGGCUUAACCUGGGAACUGCAUUUGUGACUGCAUAGCUAGAGUACGGUAGAGGGGGAUGGAAUUCCGCGUGUAGCGGUGAAAUGCGUAGAUAUCUGGAGGAAUACCGGUGGCGAAGGCGGCAUCCUGGACCAUUACUGACGCUGAGGCGCGAAAGCUAGGGGAGCAAACGGG